rnacentral:rRNA from 1 species
UCCUACGGGAGGCAGCAGUGGGGAAUAUUGGACAAUGGGCGAAAGCCUGAUCCAGCAAUACCGCGUGUGUGAAGAAGGCCUUAGGGUUGUAAAGCACUUUCAAUUGGGAGGAAAACCUGCCGGUCAAUACCCGGUAGCUUGACAUUACCUUUAGAAGAAGCACCGGCUAACUCCGUGCCAGCAGCCGCGGUAAUACGGAGGGUGCGAGCGUUAAUCGGAAUUACUGGGCGUAAAGCGUGCGUAGGCGGUUCGUUAAGUCAGAUGUGAAAGCCCUGGGCUCAACCUGGGAACUGCAUUUGAAACUGGCGGACUAGAGUUUAGUAGAGGGGAGUGGAAUUUCAGGUGUAGCGGUGAAAUGCGUAGAUAUCUGAAGGAACACCAGUGGCGAAGGCGACUCCCUGGACUAGAACUGACGCUGAGGUACGAAAGCGUGGGUAGCAAACAGGAUUAGA